rnacentral:lncRNA from 1 species
UUGUCGUCUUUUACAGGCAGAUUAUUCGCCAGAUGUAAUUUAUCCUCAGUAAAUACAUAAAUCAGUUAUGUGAG